CUCUCUCUCUCACGUUCAUUUUCUUUUUCUCUCUUUUUGAGACUUCUUCCUUCUCCCACUCCUUCUUCCUAUUUUUCUUCCUUCAUCCUCUUCUUCUUCCUUCUCCCUCUCUUUCUUCAUUGUUAUUAUUGAGUUUCAAAUAGAUUCGAUUUUGAUUUCGAUUUUGUGUUUGUUGUUUCAGGUUUGGUGGUUUUGGCUCACGUGGAAAUAAACCCUGGGAAGAUGUUCACUAUGUUUCAUAUUGUGUUUCCUUGGUGAAAUUUUAGAGGCACGCGGUAAGCCAGUAGUGGAAGGUACGAAUCACAACAAAGCUUUGGUUCAUUUGUUUAUUUAUUCAGCAUCUCUAACAUUGUUUUUAAGAUUUUCGUUUGGUUCCGAAACUACGAACAUGACUUAUCUGAGAAUAAGAUCCAAUGCUUCCAUGGCUUAGGGUUUGCACUGAGGAUGUGUCUUUUACAAAUCAUCUUUCUCCUGAGAAAGAUGGAGUUGGCUCAAGUAAAAACAAGCACGGGGAUGGCGAUGUUGGAUGGUUUGAGGUUGAGAAACAUUUUGAGAUUCUUACGAAUUCGAGGGAGGAUGGUUUGCUUCAUCGCCGGUAUAUUAUUAGCUUGGUAUAACUUUUACCAGAACCAUCGCCGAUUUCGGUGUUCAAUUUCCAAUUGAUAUGAAGGUAUUCAGUGUUCAAUUUUUUCCGCAAGUUGGAAUUAAAGCUGAAAAUUCUCAAGGAUAUUACUUAUUCAAUUCUGCACGCAUGGUGUUUGAUAAAAUGUCUCAGCAACCGAGAUUUGUUUUUCUAUGAAUGCAGUUAGACAAUGGUGAUAUCAUAUGCUUUCAUAAAGCUUCUGCAAUGGAUAACGGGAGAAAUUAAAUAUACCGUUAAAACACCUGUAGUUACUAACGAUGGUCAACCGAUUCAAGAUCCAAUUAUAUCGAGCGUCUGCUGCGUAGAUUAGUAACCUCUAAUCGAUGCCUUCAACAAAUACUCCAACCUGAUACCGCACGAAUCACAGAGCCAUCUCUGACGACAAAAGAUAAGUUCAUCACAUAUCUAUUUUUCAGAUUAGUCAUAUUUUGGCUUGGGGAACAAAGACACAAGAACAUGUGAGAAAUUGAUCUUUGUAUCUGAUGUUGUGAAGGAGCAUUGGAUAACCUAUGGUAGAAAUUUAAAUGCUUAGGCUGUUGUUAGCCUGGGUUGUAAAUGGGCAAAAGUGAACCAUAUGAUAAAAGUUCCAUUGAUACAAGUUCACUGUUGCUUUAUAAAAUUCUUUAUGAAUAACAACUGAAUCUUUAACCGGUUUUAUGAAUGACUUACAACAACUUUCAUUUAAACCUCUGAAGCAACAAAGUUUCAUGGUAUCAUUAUAAUUUUUACGAAUAACUUAAAGUAAUUAAUAUAACUUUGUUCGUUCAUUUCGAAGUGCAUUUGCAAUUAAUUUUGGGCAUUUGUGUGUUUCGCAGGGAAUUGCGCUUUUAACGUUUACUGUUGUUGCACGUGGAUUGAUUAUUUUGUUACCGAUGCUGAGACUCAUUCCUAUUGUUACUGAUGCAACAUCUAUCGUUGACCUAUUCACCGUGGUUCCCAGUGUUUGUGACUGCCUAUAUUUGUCAUUACAAUGGUUAGGAAACUUGAAUUCUUGAAUGCAUUUCUUGUGUUUACAAUUGCUGCCUGUUUUUGGGUUGAGCUUGGAUAUGCAAAGCCUGAUGCUAAACAAGUUGUGAAGGGUCUUUUUUCUGCCGCAACUAAAAGGGAAUAGAGCUACUGGUCUUGCAAUUUCACUUCUCUGUGCUAUGGUUAUGCCCCACAAUCUCUUCCUGCACUCGGCAUUAGUACUUUCUACGAAAAUACCCUGAUCUGUUCGUGGAAUCAAAGAUGCUUGCAUAUUUUACAUGAUAGAAAGUGCCUUUGCUCUUAUGGUGGCCUUCCUCAUAAAUGUUUCUGUCAUUUCUCACUCAUUUGUAGCUUAUUUUGAAAAUGGUGUUUGAGAGCUAUGCCUUGGACAAUAAGAAAUGAGGAUGUUUAAUUGAAUAAACCGAUAAUGUGCUAAGAUUUUACAAAUAUAUAUCACUUAUGGUAGAUGAAAGGAGUCGUUGUCGUUGUUAGUGUUGCAUUUCCAGUCGGUUGCUCUCUGUUUUGAUUAUGCCGGAUGUAAUCGGGUGCAACAACUCAAAUGAGGAGAGUUAGAAAUCGCAAUUAUUCGGAUUGCUUUAUAUGAAACAUUGGAAUUUAAAUUUUGCUUUCUGCAUUGCUGUAGUGGAUUGUGUUACCGAAAAGCAGAUGAAAAACCAGAAGAUGAAAACGUAGAUUCUUAGCUGUCUAUUGAAGAAGGAAAUUCUGAUCGUCGAACUAUGCCUUUUAUAAAUCUGAAACGAAUUUCAAGAACAGCCAAUAGAAAUGAAAAUAAAGGAUGAAGUCAAUCAUCAUAGUUGGUUUGUUCCGAAUUAUCUUCGUCAACCGAAUGGCGGGAGUACUACAUAUGUGCAAAUGAUGAUUUUAAUAUUGGCGGGAGUACUACAUAC